rnacentral:rRNA from 1 species
UACGGAGGGUGCAAGCGUUAUCCGGAUUCACUGGGUUUAAAGGGUGCGUAGGUGGGCAGGUAAGUCAGUGGUGAAAUCUCCGGGCUUAACUCGAAAACUGCCAUUGAUACUAUCUGUCUUGAAUACCGUGGAGGUCAGCGGAAUAUGUCAUGUAGCGGUGAAAUGCUUAGAUAUGACAUAGAACACCAAUUGCGAAGGCAGCUGGCUACACGAAUAUUGACACUGAUGCACGAAAGCGUGGGGAUCAAACAGG